GCCGCGAGGUGGAGCAAAUCGCAGAAAAUCGCCCUCAGUUCGGAUUGGAGUCUGAAACCCGACUCCAUGAAGGUGGAAUCGCUAGUAAUCGCGCAUCAGCAUGGCGCGGUGAAUACGUUCCCGGGCCUU
rnacentral:rRNA from 1 species